rnacentral:rRNA from 1 species
GAUGAACGCUGGCGGCGUGCCUAAUACAUGCAAGUCGAGCGAACAGACGAGGAGCUUGCUCCUCUGACGUUAGCGGCUGACGGGUGAGUAACACGUGGAUAAGCUACAUGUAAGACUGGGAUAACUUAGGGGAGCCGGAGAUAAUACCGGAGAAUAUAUUGAACCAUAUCGAUCAAUAGUGAAAGACGACUUUGCUGUCACUUGUAGUUGGAUCCGCGCCGCAUUAGCUAGUUGGUAAGGUAAUGGCUUACCAAGGCAACGAUGCGUAGCCGACCUGAGAGGGUGAUCGGCCACACUGGAACUGAGACACGGCCCAGACUCCUACGGGAGGCAGCAGUAGGGAAUCUUCCGCAAUGGGCGAAAGCCUGACGGAGCAACGCCGCGUGAGUGAUGAAGGUCUUCGGAUCGUAAAACUCUGUUAUUAGGGAAGAACAAAUGUGUAAGUAACUAUGCACGUCUUGACGGUACCUAAUCAGAAAGCCACGGCUAACUACGUG